ensembl:rRNA 5_8S_rRNA 5.8S ribosomal RNA
GACUCUUAGCGGUGGAUCACUCGGUUUGUGCGUUGAUAAAGAAGGCAGCUAGUUGCGAGAAUUAAUGUGAAUUGCAUUGAUCACAGACACUUCAAAUGCACUUGCGGCACCGGGUUCCUCCCAGGGCUACGCCUGUCUGAGCGUUG